rnacentral:rRNA from 1 species
UGUGUAGGCGGCCUUUUAAGUUUGGUGUGAAAUCUCCCGGCUUAACUGGGAGGGUGCGCCGAAUACUGAAGGGCUAGAGUGCGGGAGAGGAGAGUGGAAUUCCUGGUGUAGCGGUGAAAUGCGUAGAUAUCAGGAGGAACACCGGUGGUGUAGACGGCUCUCUGGACCGUAACUGACGCUGAGACACGAAAGCGUGGGUAGCAAACAGGAUUAGAUACCCUAGUAGUCCACGCCCUAAACGAUGCAUAUUUGGUGUGGGUCAUUCAGUUGAUCCGUGCCGGAGCUAACGCGUUAAAUAUGCCGCCUGGGGAGUACAGUCGCAAGGCUGAA